UGGGGAAUAUUGCACAAUGGGCGCAAGCCUGAUGCAGCCAUGCUGCGUGUAUGAAUAAGGCCUUCGGGCUGUAAAGUACUUUCAGCGGGGAGGAAGGGAGUAAAGUUAAUACCUUUGCUCAUUGACGUUACCCGCAGAAGAAGCACCGGCUAACUCCGUGCCAGCAGCCGCGGUAAUACGGAGGGUGCAAGCGUUAAUCGGAAUUACUGGGCGUAAAGCGCACGCAGGCGGUUUGUUAAGUCAGAUGUGAAAUCCUCGGGCUCAACCUGGGAACUGCAUCUGAUACUGGCAAGCUUGAGUCUCGUAGAGGGGGGUAGAAUUCCAGGUGUAGCGGUGAAAUGCGUAGAGAUCUGGAGGAAUACCGGUGGCGAAGGCGGCCCCCUGGACGAAGACUGACGCUCAGGUGCGAAAGCGUGGGGAGCAAACAGG
rnacentral:rRNA from 1 species